GCGGGUAUCGUAUAACGGCUAUUACCACAGGUUUCCAACCUGUUGACAGGGGUUCGACUCUCCUUACCCGCU
rnacentral:tRNA from 1 species